rnacentral:lncRNA from 1 species
GAAAAUUUCUCUCACCCACGUUUCCCAUGAUCUGCAUCAUUAUUAUAGCUUAACUCAUUGUUUCUCUCAUGUAAGUGUCUAACUUAUGCCACUUAAUCCUAAUUACGUUUAUAUAUAUGAUUUGCCUGCCAUUUCUUUCUCUGAUCAUCAAUGAACCUGAUGCGAACUAAUCCACAUAAAACCCAAAUGAAUGGCUAUCCCCUAUUUCUUUCCUCUGCUCUCUAUCAUCUCGUUUCUUCCUUAAACCUAUAAGCAACUUCUUUCUACAAUUCUUGGUUCACACUUUCUUUUGCAUAAGAAUAUGCCAAGACCAUUAAUCAAUUCCUAGCAUCUACUUCUCCUAUAUUUCAUUAGGGUUAUGGCACGUGAUGCUUCAUAUUUAGCGGUCGCAUAGUCGAAACGGACUCUGUUGUGAGAGAUAUUGCAUGAGUACUACAGCUUUAAAUUUUAGGCUUAAUUAGAGUUUUGUGCUUGGAAGGAAAGCGGCUAAGGUAAGGGCUUUUUCCCCAUACACUCGUGCACUUAAGGUUUAUGUUAUAGAUUGAUAAUGGAGUAUUUAACCGAUAGAAAGAGAUGGAAAUAGAAGGAAUGACAAAGACUUAUUUUUAUAACAUUUUAUGCUAUGUUAAUAUAUGAAGUACUUAUGUGUGGCUGAUUGUAUAUUUAAUUUUAUGAUUUUGUGUGUGUUGAUUGUCAAUUUGAGUAUUCUGUCAGUUUCGAUAAAUGGUGAAUUUAUCAGGUUUAAAAUAAAGUUUUACACUUUCAAUUGAUUUAACCAAAUGGUGCUGGUUUUAAAAGGUGUCUAUAGUAUGCAUAGCAUGGCAUAUAGUUGUUGUUAUAGGUUUGGUGUGGUUCGGAACAAUACCCAACGGUGGGGUACCGAACCUUAAUACCCAACGGUGGGGUAUUGUGUCCAACGGUGGGACACUGUCCAAUGGUGGGACACUUUAUUUUGCUCUGCGGAGAGGUGAUAUCCGGAUCAUGGUUUAGAUGCAUUUCAUGCAUUAUUAACUGGUAUAGAGUGUUAUUAAGAAUAGUUUCUGGUAUUGACUUUAUUUUAUUUCUUCUUUAUGGCCGAGUAUUUUAUUGUUACUUUAUGACAUUUACCUUCCGUUCGGCAUGAUUCAAUUUGGAUAAGGAAAUUGACCCUUGCAUUAAAUAUGGUUGUAGGUACCAAAGAAAAAUGAAGUUGAUGUGUUGCUUGUACAUGCGUGGGGAUAAAUCGAAGGGUUUUUAUUAGAGUAUAAUUGUAAAUUUAAAUAAGGCUUCUUCACAAUUGUAUAGCUACUUUGUUGUAAAUUUAACAUAUUUUGAAAUUGACAACUUGUAGUAUUCUGGACUUAAUAAGUCUUUUUAAAUUUUUACAAUAAUUAGAUAACUAUAUAUCUUGAUAUUUUGAGAAAAUAAUUAUGAUGACUUGUUUUCAAAUCAAUUAUAAAACUAAAAAGGAAAACAGUGUAGUGUUUUUCAAUUAAGUGAAAGAAU